GUUUUCCGCUGUUUUUUGGAGUUUUUCGUUUUUACAAUGUUUUUUUAAUAGAAAUUCGUUUCUCUUUUACAUUUGAGAACAAAUUUGGGACUGUCCAGUUGAAUAAAGAUCUCUAAUAAUUGAAAAAUGUAUUGGUAUAUUGAUGUUAACUUUAGCUAACAUGAAAAUCCAAAAUGUUGUUUUUCAACCAUCAAUGCGUAUCUCAACAAAUACACAUUGAUAAAGUUUGCUGAUUUUCUUUGGACUUCUCACAUUUCCAAUUUUCACAGCCAUAAGACUUAAUCCAUAUUUAUUUUUAAUACCAACACGGAAUUUUAAGUGUCUCCUUUACUCAUUUCUCAACUGGUGUUCUGAGGCUUGAAAAGGGACGUUUGUUGCCAAUUUUGUCAAAAUAUGAGGUUUUUCUUACUUUAUUCAAAUGACCUUUCCUUCUGGAGACUUUUUCAUACAUUAUCGAAGUUCGAAAGUAAAGAAAAAGAUGUACUUUGAUUUUAAAAGUUCUGUGCACGAAUGUGGGAGAAAUGCAAAGAGCGACCGCGAAGUGCGAGAACCAACAGUCGCGAGCCUAGGGUGCGCUCAAACUCUCAAACGAAGCUCUUUUAACAAAAGAAAAGUCACAAUCACAAAAUUGCAGUGGUGGAUGUUUUGAAUUUUAAUUGUAAAGGUCUGCGCACGAAUGUGGAAAAGAUUCGACUUGUAACACCUGGCAUAAUAACCCGUGUAUUUCUGAAAAAGGAUUCGUCCCUCGAUCUCUCUAGUAUCCUAAUGGAAAAGCAUUAGACCCACAGUCGGAGGUUCUAUGUUUCGAUUCCCAGCGGAGUUAAAGAAAUGGUGCUGUUAGAUAAAAUCCAUAAUUGUCGGACGACGCGUGAUGUCGCACAUGUACAACUAAUCCUGGAGUUCCAGCCCGUAAACGACCCAGAAGCCACAUUAGGGUUUCGUCGCUGGCUCCACUCGGGAACAUCAUCACGACGUCGCAUUCCUGAAAAUGCCAAAGAUAAUUCGCAGUUUGAAAAUGGCUUUCUCUCACCAAAUUUCAAACAAAAUUGAAAGAAUUUUCCUAUUUUUUGUUUAGAAUUUAAUCUAAUGAUACUCAUUUACCUUUAAUUAACCUCAUACAUGUUUAAAUUUCGGCAUAAAUAAUUAUGUUUGUAGGAAUAGAAG